rnacentral:tRNA from 1 species
GGGCCUAUAGCUCAGCCUGGUUAGAGCACCUGCCUUUUAAGCAGGGUGUCCUGGGUCCGAAUCCCAGUGGGCCCACCU